AACGAACGCUGGCGGCAUGCCUAACACAUGCAAGUCGAACGAGACCUUCGGGUCUAGUGGCGCACGGGUGCGUAACGCGUGGGAACCUGCCCUUAGGUUCGGAAUAACUCCUCGAAAGGGGUGCUAAUACCGGAUAAUGUCUUCGGACCAAAGAUUUAUCGCCUUUGGAUGGGCCCGCGUUGGAUUAGCUGGUUGGUGGGGUAAAGGCCUACCAAGGCGACGAUCCAUAGCUGGUCUUAGAGGAUGAUCAGCCACACUGGGACUGAGACACGGCCCAGACUCCUACGGGAGGCAGCAGUGGGGAAUAUUGGACAAUGGGCGAAAGCCUGAUCCAGCAAUGCCGCGUGAGUGAUGAAGGCCCUUGGGUUGUAAAGCUCUUUUACCAGGGAUGAUAAUGACAGUACCUGGAGAAUAAGCUCCGGCUAACUCCGUGCCAGCCGCCGCGGUAAGAC
rnacentral:rRNA from 1 species